rnacentral:rRNA from 1 species
UCGGGAAUAUUGCGCAAUGGAGGAAACUCUGACGCAGUGACGCCGCGUGCAGGAAGAAGGUUUUCGGAUUGUAAACUGCUUUAGACAGGGAAGAAAAAGGACAGUACCUGUAGAAUAAGCUCCGGCUAACUACGUGCCAGCAGCCGCGGUAAUACGUAGGGAGCAAGCGUUAUCCGGAUUUAUUGGGUGUAAAGGGUGCGUAGACGGGAAAUCAAGUUGGUUGUGAAAUCCCUCGGCUUAACUGAGGAACUGCAACCAAAACUAAUUUUCUUGAGUGCUGGAGAGGAAAGUGGAAUUCCUAGUGUAGCGGUGAAAUGCGUAGAUAUUAGGAGGAACACCAGUGGCGAAGGCGACUUUCUGGACAGUAACUGACGUUGAGGCACGAAAGUGUGGGGAGCAAACA